AUUGAACGCUGGCGGCAGGCCUAACACAUGCAAGUCGAGCGGAUGAAGGGAGCUUGCUCCUGGAUUCAGCGGCGGACGGGUGAGUAAUGCCUAGGAAUCUGCCUGGUAGUGGGGGAUAACGUCCGGAAACGGGCGCUAAUACCGCAUACGUCCUGAGGGAGAAAGUGGGGGGUCUUCGGACCUCACGCUAUCAGAUGAGCCUAGGUCGGAUUAGCUAGUUGGUGGGGUAAAGGCCUACCAAGGCGACGAUCCGUAACUGGUCUGAGAGGAUGAUCAGUCACACUGGAACUGAGACACGGUCCAGACUCCUACGGGAGGCAGCAGUGGGGAAUAUUGGACAAUGGGCGAAAGCCUGAUCCAGCCAUGCCGCGUGUGUGAAGAAGGUCUUCGGAUUGUAAAGCACUUUAAGUUGGGAGGAAGGGCAGUAAGUUAAUACCUUGCUGUUUUGACGUUACCAACAGAAUAAGCACCGGCUAACUUCGU
rnacentral:rRNA from 1 species